GACGAACGCUGGCGGCGUGCUUAACACAUGCAAGUCGAACGAUGAAGCCUAGCUUGCUAGGUGGAUUAGUGGCGAACGGGUGAGUAAUACGUGAGUAACCUACCUUUAACUCUGGGAUAAGCCCGGGAAACUGGGUCUAAUACCGGAUACGACCAAUCUCCGCAUGGGGUGUUGGUGGAAAGCGUUAUGUAGUGGUUAUAGAUGGGCUCACGUCCUAUCAGCUUGUUGGUGAGGUAACGGCUCACCAAGGCGACGACGGGUAGCCGGCCUGAGAGGGUGACCGGCCACACUGGGACUGAGACACGGCCCAGACUCCUACGGGAGGCAGAAGUGGGGAAUAUUGCACAAUGGGCGCAAGCCUGAUGCAGCGACGCCGCGUGAGGGAUGACGGCCUUCGGGUUGUAAACCUCUGUUAGCAGGGAAGAAGAGAGAUUGACGGUACCUGCAGAGAAAGCGCCGGCUAACUACGUG
rnacentral:rRNA from 1 species